GAUGAACGCUGGCGGCGUGCCUAAUACAUGCAAGUCGAGCGAACGGACGAGAAGCUUGCUUCUCUGAUGUUAGCGGCGGACGGGUGAGUAACACGUGGAUAACCUACCUAUAAGACUGGGAUAACUUCGGGAAACCGGAGCUAAUACCGGAUAAUAUUUUGAACCGCAUGGUUCAAAAGUGAAAGACGGUCUUGCUGUCACUUAUAGAUGGAUCCGCGCUGCAUUAGCUAGUUGGUAAGGUAACGGCUUACCAAGGCAACGAUGCAUAGCCGACCUGAGAGGGUGAUCGGCCACACUGGAACUGAGACACGGUCCAGACUCCUACGGGAGGCAGCAGUAGGGAAUCUUCCGCAAUGGGCGAAAGCCUGACGGAGCAACGCCGCGUGAGUGAUGAAGGUCUUCGGAUCGUAAAACUCUGUUAUUAGGGAAGAACAUAUGUGUAAGUAACUGUGCACAUCUUGACGGUACCUAAUCAGAAAGCCACGGCUAACUACGUGCCAGCAGCCGCGGUAAUACGUAGGUGGCAAGCGUUAUCCGGAAUUAUUGGGCGUAAAGCGCGCGUAGGCGGUUUUUUAAGUCUGAUGUGAAAGCCCACGGCUCAACCGUGGAGGGUCAUUGGAAACUGGAAAACUUGAGUGCAGAAGAGGAAAGUGGAAUUCCAUGUGUAGCGGUGAAAUGCGCAGAGAUAUGGAGGAACACCAGUGGCGAAGGCGACUUUCUGGUCUGUAACUGACGCUGAUGUGCGAAAGCGUGGGGAUCAAACAGGAUUAGAUACCCUGGUAGUCCACGCCGUAAACGAUGAGUGCUAAGUGUUAGGGGGUUUCCGCCCCUUAGUGCUGCAGCUAACGCAUUAAGCACUCCGCCUGGGGAGUACGACCGCAAGGUUGAAACUCAAAGGAAUUGACGGGGACCCGCACAAGCGGUGGAGCACGUGGUUUAAUUCGAAGCAACGCGAAGAACCUUACCAAAUCUUGACAUCCUUUGACAACUCUAGAGAUAGAGCUUUCCCCUUCGGGGGACAAAGUGACAGGUGGUGCAUGGUUGUCGUCAGCUCGUGUCGUGAGAUGUUGGGUUAAGUCCCGCAACGAGCGCAACCCUUAAGCUUAGUUGCCAUCAUUAAGUUGGGCACUCUAAGUUGACUGCCGGUGACAAACCGGAGGAAGGUGGGGAUGACGUCAAAUCAUCAUGCCCCUUAUGAUUUGGGCUACACACGUGCUACAAUGGACAAUACAAAGGGCAGCGAAACCGCGAGGUCAAGCAAAUCCCAUAAAGUUGUUCUCAGUUCGGAUUGUAGUCUGCAACUCGACUACAUGAAGCUGGAAUCGCUAGUAAUCGUAGAUCAGCAUGCUACGGUGAAUACGUUCUCCGGGUCU
rnacentral:rRNA from 1 species